GAUGAACGCUGGCGGCGUGCCUAAUACAUGCAAGUCGAGCGAACGGACGAGAAGCUUGCUUCUCUGAUGUUAGCGGCGGACGGGUGAGUAACACGUGGAUAACCUACCUAUAAGACUGGGAUAACUUCGGGAAACCGGAGCUAAUACCGGAUAAUAUUUUGAACCGCAUGGUUCAAAAGUGAAAGACGGUCUUGCUGUCACUUAUAGAUGGAUCCUCGCUGCAUUAGCUAGUUGGUAAGGUAACGGCUUACCAAGGCAACGAUGCAUAUCCGACCUGAGAGGGUGAUCGGCCACACGGGAACUGAGACACGGUCCAGACUCCUACGGGAGGCAGCAGUAGGGAAUCUUCCGCAAUGGGCGAAAGCCUGACGGAGCAACGCCGCGUGAGUGAUGAAGGUCUUCGGAUCGUAAAACUCUGUUAUUAGGGAAGAACAUAUGUGUAAGUAACUGUGCACAUCGUGACGGUACCUAAUCAGAAAGCCACGGCUAACUACGUG
rnacentral:rRNA from 1 species